UUUUGAUAAUGAUUAAAGGCGACCCAUUCAGUAGGUACAUUAGGCAAGACAAUUGUAUACCGGAACCCAUUGAGAUUGCAUCGAGAGCCCUGUUUUGUAAAAAAGGAUUUUACAUGACAGUCUAUGAGGUCUGGGGCGAUUUUCAAUCUUCCCAAAAUAGCCCCAAAAGGGGCGGGACCAUUAGAAGCACGACUUUAGCCUGAUUAGACAAUGACAUUCAGAGGCAGAUCAGACGGUCUAGUGGUAGAAUCGGACAGAAAAUAAAUCUCUCCUUUUCCCGUUUGGCAGUGGGUCGGCCAAAUCGCCCUUAUGGACAAACUGUCCCUCUCCGUAACCCGCCUUCCCCCCGCCGAGUGCAAAUAUCACCAAUUUAUAAGACAGCAGCCUCACCAUCUGGAGAGGGUGCACACUUACCAACACAAAUAUACAAAAAUUAGAUCAUAAAAAUAGAUCAUAAAACUUUAAUGCGGCUCCUACAAAAAUCUUGAAUUCACGAGAGGAGGUGUUGCCUGCUUCAGCCGUCAUCACACCCAGUAGGACACUUACACGACUCACCAGCUGAGUGAUACAUGAAAACCAGGGAGGAUUGUGUGUGUGUGUGUGUGUGUGGUGCAAGUUGAAAUUCCAGAUGAUACAGAACCAUGCCGAAUAAGACACACACAACAUAAAGGAAUACAAGUAAAUCAUUUAUUUACAGAUUGCAAAGUACACAAUUACGGCGGUGAUACAAACUUGUAGAGGGCCUCAUACUGUGUGAGAGCUUACAGGAGAGCAGUGGUGUGUGUGUGUGUGUGUGUGUGUGUGUGUGAGGAGGGAUAAGUCCAUAAUAGCCCUCCUGCCCCCCACCCCACCCAUGGGUAAAGAGUCUCAGAGCGGCUCCGUUUAAACCCCAGGGUCCUAGUGCUGGAACAUCUCACACACACACACACACACAUCUAUCACACACACACACACACACACACAGACACGUGUCACACACACACACACACACACACACACAGACACACACAUCUAUCACACACACACACACACACACACACACACACCUGUCACACCUUACUAUGUAGCUCAACUGCCCCAACAGACUUCUGACCACAAAACCAUAAACAUUUUCACAUAACAUCAACAUCGAAUCUCUUUCAGCCAAUCACAUACCUGAGCCUGGAGGCCAACCAGUUUCAGAGCUAGCUCUAGUCUAGUUAACGAGACUAGUUAGUCUGGUGAAGUUAGACUAGUUAACGAGACUAGUUAGUCUGGUGAAGUUAGACUAGUUAACUAGACUAGUUAGUCUAGUAAAGUUAGACUAGUUAACGAGACUAGUUAGUCUGGUGAAGUUAGACUAGUUAACUAGACUAGUUAGUCCGGUGAAGUUAGACUAUUAAAAGAGACUAGUUAAUCUAGCGAAGUUAGUCUAGGAGCCAGCUCUGAAACCAGUCCAGUUCUGGUGUGGCUUAGGGACAGUUGAGUACGGCCGAAGCAUAAUGUCCAGCACCUCAUCGGAGUGGCCUCACACAAACACACACACACACAGUUAGCUUGGUGGAGGAGCACAGGGGAUUUAAACACACACACACACACCACUGCUCAGGGGACAGGCAGGCAGUGCUGCUCGGCAGGUCAGCAGGCCAAGAUGGCAGACGGAGCCCUCAUUGGGCGCCAUAGUUGCCCUGAAAGCCCAUAACUGGCAUGGAAACUGGGGCCCAAAGGAGCCAGCAUGGGGCCUGUGUGGUGCUUCAGAGCCUCAGAGCCAGCAUGGCCCUCGGUUGGUCAGUCAGACACGCCACUUCCUGUCCUCAGCGUAGAGAGCCCCCUAGCCCCCGCCCCCCCUCGACCUGAGCAUGCAGGAGGGGGUCCAGACGGUGCCGGGGGGGGGGGGUCAGGGUGCCGGGGGGGGGAAUAAAUAGAUAAAAGGGGAAUUCUAAUAAAAGACGUGCUGCUGGUCAGGCGGACAGACGGACAGCAGACUGACGGCGCCGGGGUUCCGCCGAGAGAGAGAGGUCCAGAGGAAAACAUCCCAUAAUAAUCCACCCAGGUAACACAGACGAGUGUGUGAGUGUGUGGUCCAAACUCAAGGAGCAGGCGUGCAGCAGUGAGAGCAGGAGGGGAGAGGGGAGAGGAGAAGAGGAGAAGAGAGAGAAGGAGAGGAGAGGAGGACAGGAGGGGUUUCAUUCUUGGCUGGCAGUCAGCCUCCUUUCUACUGAUGUCCCCAUGGAGACCAGAGCAGAGAGAGAGAGAGAUGGAGAAAGGGGACAUUGCCUGGUCAAGCCCUAUAGCAGACUGGAGCAAAGUCUUGUGGAGUGGAGUGGAGUUGAGUUGCCAUGGUCUUGUGGAGUUGUGUAGAGUUGUGGUGGUCUUGUGGAGUUGAGUUGUGUAGAGUUGCGGUGGUCUUGUAGUUUUGAGUAGAACCAGCUUUUGGUAUGGGUUCAGGUUCUUUGUUCUGGUGGGGUCUUCAACUCUUCAGCGCUGCAGUUGCAGAGAUGCCAUGAGGUGGCAGACUGGAUCUGGGGGAGGACACACACACACACACACACACACACA
ensembl:lncRNA